rnacentral:rRNA from 1 species
GCAAGUCGAGCGGUAAGCUAACUUCGGUUAGCCUAGAGCGGCGGACGGGUGAGUAAUGCUUGGGAACAUGCCUUGAGGUGGGGGACAACAGUUGGAAACGACUGCUAAUACCGCAUAACGUCUACGGACCAAAGGGGGGGACCUUCGGGCCUCACGCCAUAAGAUUAGCCCAAGUGGGAUUAGCUAGUUGGUGAGGUAAUGGCUCACCAAGGCGACGAUCCCUAGCUGGUUUGAGAGGAUGAUC